CGGGGCUGGGAGAGGGGUCCACGCCGCCGUCCCGCACCACGCUGGGAGACCCGCGGGCCCGAGUCACCACGGCUGCCAGGUAGCAGAUGGAUUAAGGACCCUUGGGCCAGGUGACCACGCAGUGAUCGCCUCUAGAGGGCAGAAGGGACGGUGAGGAAGACAGUCUCAGCUACUGACUUGCGUGAGUGAAAUCCAGACGUGAUGCCUGGAGCUAGAGUAGCCAUCUUGAGCUGUGAGGUGACCGGGGAAUGGAGGCCAUACUUGGAGGCACAACAAAGCAGAAGGACCCUGAGCCCUGACGCCAUGGAGCGUCGAGACACUGCUGAAUACUCACGUCUGGACUUCCACAGGAGAGGGAAAUAGACCACCCUGGCCUUUGCUGCCAGUUAUGAUGGUGACUUUGUGUAAUAAGCAGAAGGAUUGCGAGGAAUUACUUGGAAGGCUGCUUUAAAGGAGCGGAGUCAGCUGGGAGGUGAGUCCUUUUGCCUUCCCACCUUCUUAACUGCUGCCUUGAUUUCAUAUGUGAUGGCUAGAAUUCUUCUAGCUGUGUUGGACCAUGAGGUGUCCUAGAAAAUGGAAACCAUUCAAACUCUGGAUGGCCUACCUCCAGACUGGUUUGAGUGGGAGGGGGAAAAAAUCAAGUUUUAUCUUCUUACGGUUAUUUUAGGUUUCUUGCAACAUGUACCCAAACUUAAACCUGAUCUGGUUAUCAUUAAUACAGUACACCUUCAUUAGUAUUCUGUGGGGUUUGGUAAAUGAAUUUAUAUUUUACAAGUUUCUUUAUGAUCUUGUUCCAUUUAUGCAGAAACCAUAUAUAUACGAAUAUAUAUACUGAUGCACCCUUGUGCCAAUGCAAAAUUGUGAUUAGAAACAUGCCUUCUUAAAGGUAUAGCUUUGGGAUUUUUUUUUCUUUUCAUUUUUCUUGCUCUUGGUUUCCUGACUUAUUAACAGCCUAGCGUA